UCGUGCAUCAAGUUUAUUCUUUCUCUUAGAAGGAAAUCGUUCCUUCCUCAUAUGCACCCAUACCCAAUCUCCAAGUUCAAACAAGACUUGCUUUCGCCCUUUAUUAGCUCGAUGUGCAUUGGACUCAUUCUUUUUCUCAAUGGCUUUACGAGCCUUCUCAUGGAUCUCUUUCACUAAAUCAGCUUUCCUUUCACCAUCUAAAUUAGCAAUCUCAUUCAAAGGUAAAGGAAGCAAAUCUAAAACAGUAAGUGGAUUAAAG
rnacentral:lncRNA from 1 species